CCCAGCACAGCUUGGAGCUGCCCGGCGGCUGGUGGUUUAAUAAGGAAGGUACUGGGUAAGGUUUGGCUGUGGACCAGGUUGGCACACGGGGUUCCAGCACAGUCCCUUUGGAGAAAUAUUUGCACAAACUAGACGAACCCAGAGGAAUUAUUUGCUUUACAUUGUAAAACACCACAGCUGAAUGUUUCCUUUUAAUUAAACGUAACACUCCAGCAUCCAUUUCCUGGACAGCUGGUCACUCCACUCCGUCCACAGCCCAGAGGACUAGAUCCAUGGCGCCGCUGUCAGGACUCAGACGGGUGCCUGUUGGCUUUGCUACAAGUGUAAGAGGCAAAGGGCGGGAUUUAGAAAGCACGGGACAGAGAUUUGUUUUCCUGUGCUUUCAGCCUGUACAUCCCUGUGUAUGUUUCCUUGGGUUCUUUUGGUUGCAAGAGACAGAAAGCCAGCUUAAAUUGGCUGUCAAAUAGGGGCCUUUGUUGACUCAGGCAACUGGUUGGUCACAGUUGCUCCUCUCUCUCCCUCCCUCCCUCCCUCCCUAUUCCUGUUAUCUAGAACAGCAUGGUAUAGGGCUUGCUCAACCCGACUGCCACACAUUGAUCCCUCACUGACCUGAAGGCCCACAGGGAGCUGGUGCACAAGGGUAGAGGCAGCCCCUCCGUGCUUGUCCCCCGAGAUCGAUCGGGGACCCAGAGGAGAAUGAGAGGGGGAGGUUGGCAGCAAAAACGGGAGGUCUCUCUGGGAGAGCCAGAAGGGGUUCCUCCAGAAAAGUUCCCUGGUCAGGGCCACUCCCCCUUCUGCAACAACCCACAGUCACCCUGUUUCUGUCCAAGGAGCACACUCACAUGGGUGACAGACUCAAACCAGCUGGCUUCCCAGAAGCCUCAGGCCUGUCCAUUGGCAGGAGGCCCGACAACUGCAACCGAAGCCCACAGUGGAAGAGGGCUGUCAGGACACUUCAGUAGAAGUGAGCCUGCACCCUGCCUGCAGCUUAGUGCACUGUGACCAACACCUGGCAUGGACAGGAGACAGACAGUCAGGACCUGUCUUUACAUCCAGCCGACAAGGACAUGUUCCCUUCAGCUCUCUUCCAGGCGAUUUAGCCUGAGCCCAGGCUUCAGUGGUGUUCCCCGAAGCCUUUCUGUCCCAGACAGCAGCUCCUUUAAUGGUAGGGGCACCAUGGGUCAGAGUUCAAGUUGCUGAGUGGGUAGGCCACUCUUUCCCUGACUCCUCUUCAUCCAAAGCCCAUUACAAGACUCAUCUUAUAGCUUUCCCCAUUACACUGGUGGCUGAGGAAUCUGUUUACCUUCCUAAAGGUUUAGCAGCCUGGUAGUGCUACUUGGAAUUAUGGCCUGUGUGUGGGCUUGCACCCACGUGGCUUUGUCCAUCAGGGGUGGAGGUAACCAUGGUCAAGGUGGAACCAUUGUCAUUGGCUCUUUGCACAUCUUCCCAGGAAGAAUAGUGAGAAGCUCUUCUUGUCCCAGCUUUGGGGUGGAUGAAAGCAGCUCUGGGAAGCAGCUCUGGGAGACUCACUGAGAGACUAACACUGACAGACCAUUGUCCACCAUAAGCCACUGGCUUUCCCUCUCUUGGCACUGUCAAUCUGCCCUGGGUAGAGAUCUGAAGCCCCCAGCCGUCAUCCAUGUGUCCACUCCCCUGAGCACCAGCCUUACGUUUGCGUGCGUAAUGCUGAGCCCAGGGCUAAACUCCGAUAGGCAGUGCUGCAGGUCACCAGUUCAGGGUGGGCAACCCCAGAGAUGGGCUGGGGGUGGGGAGCGCCAGUGUGUAUGUCUCCACAAGCUUAUUUUUAGUUGCGUUAUAUAAGUGGCUUCAUCCCGGCGUCAUGGAGGAAGGGGGGGGUCUCAGAUUUAAUUACAGAAUGACAGCCUUUGCAUUUCAAGCAAGCUGUUCUCCUGGCAAGGCAGGCACACGGAUCGGGAGUCUACUCAGCAGAAGCUGCCCUUGGGGAAGUGGCCCCCAGCAGACUGUCAGCCCACCUUCACCUCCAUCCUCUGCCAUUUGCCUAAGGUCUCCAGAGAUGGUGGGAGACCUGUGCCUGUUAAGGGAGCGCUCUCCACCCCCACCCCACCCCUACCUGGCAACUUUUCUUCUCUCUAAGGAAAGGAUCUCCCAAUCAGAACUCUUCUGUUUUCAUCCCCCAACUGAAGCUUUUGUAAUAGGUAACUCUUCUAAUAGGAGAGACAGAAAAGCUCCAGAGCCUGGGCUUCUGGGGCUUCAGGAAAAGCCUUCCGUUUUUCCCUCCACACCCUGGUCGUCCAUGUUAGCUGCUUCCUCCCUGCUUGGCAGAUGUCUGGGCCAGACCCGAGGGCAGAAGGGCAUUCUUGUAUGUCGGGCACACUGCUCUGGUUUCAGGACAGUUUGAAUGGCUGGCCAGCUUGGUGGCUAAAACCUUAUCAGCAAGAAUGUGCUGGGAGGUCCAGGUAGAAGUCUCACUCCUACCAGCAGGAAGGCUCUUUCAGCUGCUGUCAGCCACUUGGGUUUCCUCUGGCCUUCAAGGCAUAGCCUGUCACAGUAGAGGGGGGAUAGGUUGAGACCUGACCUUGGCAGGCUCAGGGUGUAGUGUGAGAAGAAGGCCCUGGUUUAAGGAACCCGUCCUAGUCACUGGUCAGCUUGCAGGCAGAGGCAGAGCAGACAUUAUGUGGUUCUGGGCAGGCUCCCUGACCUCCUUGAGCCCCCAAAGCAGAGGUUAGGGUGCUGAGCAGUAUUGGGAGGAGUCAUGCAGAGCCAUGUGGAGGAAUCACCACACUUUAGAGGCUGGCACUGUCCUGAACAGAGCGCUCUUCCUUCUCAGUCUUCCUUCCCAGCCCAGCAGGGACAGCACAGUUGACUCCUGACCAGUGUCCAGUGUGCUGCCAUGUCCCCAUCAUGACUGAAGGUGGAGAGACCGCAGCCCAGGGAUGCCUGAGGAGACAGGAAGACUGAAGGUCCCCUGACACCCUGCUGCUGGGUCCUGGGCAGGAAGAGGAGGACACUAGGUAGAAUGUGGAGAACUCUGGAUGAACUGUGGACUUUAGUUAAUGAUAUGUCGGCACCAGCACUAGAAUGGUAGUCAGUCCAUCACACUAAGGCAGCAAGCUAACAAUGGUAGCUGGGUGGGCUCAGGGGCAGUCUUCGGAUGUCUGAGGCCCUGGGCCUGUUCCCUGGUACCACUCCAAAGAAGAGGACGUGGAGUGUCUUUGCUCUGAAUGAGGAAAUGUAGAGCGAAGGACCUUGCCGGGCCCCGGGCUACAGGUCAGAGGGUGCUGGGAGCUGCCAUGUCUGCCUUGCCUGUGCAAGCUGAGGUCUAAAGAGCAGAGCAGUUCAGCUCUCUUGCUAUACCAGAGGUGGGUGCUUCCCUGCUUCCUCCCAGGCUGCACCUCAGCUUUACGUGUAACUGGCUCCUCAGCCGCCAUGUGGGUCCUGCUUCCUGCUGUAGGAAGCAGAUUAGCCCAGGGCACCUGGCCAUCUCUUGUGUCUUCUGUUUCCUCUUAAACAUACGGUAUGGCUGGAAAGAAGGGACCAGGAAGGGCACUUGCCUGACGGAUGGAGGUGUGAACAUGGUCUUGUGGUUUUCCAGAGUGUCACCCGACACUGUCCUCUGUCCUCUUCGACACACGGCCUUAAAAAUCCCAUUGGCACUGUGGCCUCCUACAGAGCCUCCCCUACAGGCAGGCCCAGGAAGACAGAGCCUUUGUGCCCGCAUCCUGCCCUGUCGCCCCGGCAGAGGGGAAGCCUCCCCAGCAACCAUCCCCUUAUGUAAUCUGCACAUCACAGCGGCAUGACUCCAGGUGCCUGUGGGAGGUAGCGCGGGGGUGAGUGCAGGGGCGCAAACAAGCCUCGAAGUUUCCUUGGGUGCUUCUCCUCUUGCUACAUUUCAGCACCAUCCUGUGUCUGCCAGCUCGGUCACCCACUUGCCUAUUAGAAUACAUUAACUGACAAUGCAGACUUAAAUAACUUGAGCAGGUGUCAGGCUGCAGUGGAGCCCUCUGCACUGAACCCUUCUGCAGCUGGCCAAGUGAGCUCAGAGGACUAUGGUCCAAGGUUGGUGAUGAGUGCAGUCUGCAGACCAAGCAUACACAAGACCAAACUUAAGAGUGCUGGGAUACAGGUGUCCUCGUCAACAUGGGAAACCCACCCUAUGUCAGGCACACCCAUUCUUUCUGUGCACACCCAGCCUGUGGUGGGGCUGUAAAGACAGCUCUAGCAGCAGAAGCCUAGCACAGGCAGACCUGGCUGUGCCCUCCUGCUCCACCAAGUGUCCUUCGUAGGCCAGAGUGGUCCCUUAGCUUCCCUGGGAAAAGAUGAAAGACAAACUUUGCUUCCUGCUUAUUGUUCUGAUUUGCUUACCCCAAAUAAAACAUCCUUUUUCUUCUUAUUGUUUUGCCUCUUUUUUUUUUUUUUUUUUUUUUUGAGACAGGGUUUCUCUGUGUGGCUUUGGAGGCUGUCCUGGAACUCACUCUAGACCAGGCUGGCGGAUCACAGAGAUCCUCCUGCCUCUGCCUCCCGAGUGCUGGGAUUAAAGGCGUGUUUCACCACCACCCAGCCUGCUCUGCCUCUUAAAUUAAGUUGCCUUGAACAGGUCUAAAGGUGUUUUCAGGUUGUGGCAGAGGAAAUUGUUUUCCAGACCCUGAAGUCAAAAGACACCCAACCCGAGCCGUGCGGUGUUCCUCCAGGUCCUUUCCCACCGCACCGCCGUCCCCAGCUGGUGCUGCCAGAGCAAGAAGCCCAGACACGUACACGCUGCUUCCCAUGCUCGCUCACAGAUGGCUUCCCUGCCCAGGGCUGGCUGGCUGCUGCUAAUUUCGGCUGCUGGAGGCUCCGUGUGCGCUCUCUCUUUUUUUAAUUCUGUGUUUAUUUAAAGCCAGAUUUUGAAAUCUUGUCUUCAACUCUGAAAUCUGAAAUUUUCUUGCAGCAGAUCUCACCCACCCCACCCCCCCAAUACACACACACAGGACACAAAGUAUAGGGAAGCCUGAUGAACAACUGGCCAGGGCCCCUCAUAGCAGAGAGCUCAGGAGAUCCCUUGAAUAUGCUUGGUGUUUCCGUGUAAACAGGGGAAGCCAUGUGGAGUGUCUGAUCAGAGGCCAGAGGCUCGCCUGCUGCCUGGUGCUGCUGCAGGAGGGGCUGGCUGGGAUAGUACUGACUUAUCUUACCCACAGCCCUGCAACCAGGCCUGGUGUGGCCCAGGUAUCCAGGACCCCAGUGCCAAUCCCCCGCCCCCCGCUUUGUCCCUUGGGCUCUCAGAGUGCCCCUUACCCAGGAAAACCACCUAUAGGCUCUUCAUGGUUAGGGCUCUGUAAAGGAUGCCUGUCCAGCUUUCGGGUGUGUUGACACACACUGGGCUGCUCUCAGGCAGGCAGUGCCCAUGUCCUAUCUACCCAGUGUCAUGACACACAGUGGAACUCUGCCCCUGACUCUGGGACCUAGAAGACUAAACCCUGGCACGGGGAACACGUUAGAGACACACAAGGGCUGCACCCAUUGCAGGAAAGGCAACGACCCAUCGGCCCUCCCACAGCUACCCUGGAAUAUGCUAGAGGGGCUCUGGUGAAAAAGGAACCAUCUUGAGGGAACUGGUCAGAGGCUGAGGCAGAACCAGCUCCAGGAGGAAGGAGUGUGCCUAGGGCAGCGGCGGGGGUGGGAGUGGGGGGGCAUGUGAGAUACUGGCCAAGUUCCCUACCCACCUCUGCCUCUUCUCCAGCAGGCCUAGAGAGGGAAGCAUGCCGCUCCCACCCAGAGCCAUCUGCAAGCCCUGCCAGGGCCUGUCUAACACGGACAGUGUGAAGGGCUGGGGUUGUGUUCCCCGGCAUGUCCAGUCAGAGAGGAAGAUGACUGAGAAAAACUAGUGGAGAUCAGGCUUGGGAACGCCAUUUCUCUAGCAGGUCUUCUUCUCUCAGGGUUGGGAGACAGACCUUUGUAGAGGACUGUAAAAAACUAGGUAUCCCCUGUCUGUAUGAAAGGAAUACUCUGUCCCUGCCAGGAAACCAUGGCUCUAAAAGGAUGUGUGUGACAUUUCACCCACUGUCCAACCAAAGCUCAGCUGUGCCACCUUUCCACACGUCACUCUGCAGCCACUGCUGGCAGAAACAUGGAAGCUGCCAAAGCGCCACGGGAUCUGCUAACUCUCACCCUAAUCUGAGGGGGUUUUUCCUGCAGGAACCAACAAAAUCCUCUGCAUAGCUUGAGGAGUUGGCCUUCUGAGCCUCGGAGCUGGUGUUGGUGGGCUCGGUGGUGUUCACCUGCCUGGGCUCUUACUUUCCAAGGAGAAAACCCCACAUUCUGGAUUCCAAAGGCUUAGGCAGGACGCAGGCUCAGGGCUCCAGAAGCCUGAAGUUGAACUGUGGAUCUCAACCCUUGGGGUUUUAGGAAAGACUGAAGCUUUUGGGCCCCCAUGCAGAGGGCUCUCUUCACUGCCCCCUGGUGGAAAGUCAAAGAAAGGAGCAGGGAAGACUUACUCUCCCUUCAGGCUGAGGAAGAAAGAAGAAGCUGACAGCUGCUGCUGCUGCAGUGGGCUCUCCUGGAGCCUUCGAUGGACAUGAGGGCAGCUUGUGCACCUAUAAAUUGGUGCUUCUGGGAAAUAGUGUUUGUGCUGUUUUCUAGGGACCCAGUGACAUCUUAAAAUAGAGAGGUAAAAUCGCCUAAAACUAAAAAAAAAAAAAAAACCUCUUAAGGUGUUCAAUUCUGCUCAUUUGAAUGACAGGCAGUGUGCAUGUAUAACCUGUACCCACUACCAUCCGUCUGCCAAGUUCAAAAUCGCUUCAUUCUUUUCCCUUGGAUAUUUUGUUUUUUCUGGUUUGGGUUUUGGCUGGUUGUCUGUCCCUUUGUUUUUGAGAUAGGGACUCAUGGAGCUCCAGUUGAAUGUCCCAGUCCUCCUGACGCCACCUCCCACGCGCUAGGAGUAGGGGAGCUGGGACUGAAGGUGGCCCCGAGCAGCACAGACAGGCGCCUUCCCAGGUGAGCCACGUCCUCUCCCAGAACUGAUGGCUGUGCUAACUGUACUUAAUUUAACUCUGUCCGGGGAUCCAUGAGGCUGCCAGGCCCCUCUUAUCCUCAGCAACACACGUCCCCCUGUUUUUAGACCAUAGCCACCCUGGUGAGCAUGAGUGGGGCCAUUGUUUCUUGACCACUUCCCUGGUGGCCAAUGAGGGGCCUGUCAGCCUCUUCUUCCCCGGGUCUCCUUUGUUGAUUUUAUCCCACUGAGAACCUCAUACGUGAACAUGCAUCUACAUGACCCCUACUGCGCUGGGACCCCCCAGCUCCACCCAUACCCCUCCCACACCCGUGAUCUCUUCUUUAUUAUUGUUGCAUGUAUAUUUAAUGUGUGUGUAUGCAUAUAUGCACACACAUACAAAUAAUCCACUGAGUCCAUUUCACUCUGAGUCUAUGUACGUGUGUCCGGGAUGACCACGUGGGACUGGACAGGAGUCUUCUCUCUCUCUCUCUCUUGUGGUAUUUUUGUUUGUUUACCUUUUUUUCUUUCUUGAGUCUUCUCUUUUUAAGAAGGAACCACAGCCUUCACUCCAGCGCUCCAGUGGGAGGGAGCUGGCAGGUGCCUCGGGACAACCGGCUGUAACUGGCCUCAGCUCAGAGCCCCAGCUCUUGAUGAAGCCUGACAGAUGCACAGUGAGAUAGACAUUGGAGUUGGGUGGGAGCCCCCACCCACUCUUACAGACACUUGUGAGAGCCCAGGUUAGCAGGGACAGGGCCGAGAGGCAGCCUCCAGGGACCAGGUCAUCCGGGGGACUGGGGUGGAGGAGCUGUGUCUUACUCACAGGGUGCUGGGCCGGGUGAGUUCCCCCGACUCACAAGAAUUACAGCUUCUUCCCCGUAGGCUGUGCCUGCUGCACCUGGCAGACCGGAGCCAUGGCGGCUUCAGCAGGAGUGGGCUUAUUAAAGAGUGUCAGGGAGAGACCCAGAAAAAGAGCCGCAGCAACUAGUCCCAGUGAGAGCAGAGCAGCCCCCCACACACACCAUAGCCAUUGCCAGCCCCCGACCUAAUUGUCUCCGUAAGCAAGAGACCCCAGCCUGGCUGGCCUCCAGGGGACCCUGUUGACUCCCACAAGUCAGAGAACAACUUGCCUGAACUGAUUCACCUGAUUCUUUCCUGCCAUUGAGUCCUGAGGGUUGAAUUCAAGGCCUUAGGCCUGACAGCAAGUGCCUCCGCCACUUAACUUUCUCACUGGCCUAGUGGAAAGUUGUGUGUUUGUUUGAGACUGAGUCUCCAUGUGGUUCUGGCUGACCUGGAAGUCACUGUGUAGACCAGGCUGGUCUUGAACUCAGAGAUACACCGGCCUCCCAGUGCUGGAAUUAAAGUUAUCAUGAAAGUGAGCAAGGGUGAUGCCACUCAGGCUGAGCAGCAGGGUGCUGAGCUGGUGUCCUUGCAGAGAAGUCUUUUCCUGCAAAGCUGCAGUGGCCUCUUCAGGGCUGUGACUCAAGCCUCCAUUCCCGAGAAGCCAUCACCUCCUCCCAGCUUUGAGCCCCAGGCAAGUGCUUGGGGGGAAGGGAACGCCUGUGGUCGGCUCCAGCCAGGCCAAAGGAGUUUCCACCUUCCCUCCCAGCUCCAGGACCAGUGAGGCCCCAGGGCCUCUGGCCACACUGAGCCACAGCAGCAGCUUUACUCUUAGGUGACAGGGGUCUGAGUCACCGGCUGUGGGCUUGCGUGACUUGCCACGGCAGAACUUAGAGCAUGCAGCCUUAAGUUUGCGGUUCAGCAUCUGGUCUCAGCUGAAAAUCUCUAUUACCACCACAUCCACUUUCCGCUGUUCCCUCAAAGCCGGUGCCUGCUGGGUGCACAUAGCAUCAGUAGUGAAUGGGCACAUUCCCAGGGCCGGAUUGUCAUGGGAUGGACUUCCAUGUCACCAGGCCGGGGCCCCUACACUGCAGCUUGUGGGCCACUACAGGUCUUUUCAAAUAAAGUUGUGUUUGUUUGUGG
rnacentral:lncRNA from 1 species